AUUCAAUCUCUAGGAUUCUGCACUUGAUUGUCUGGAAUGCUUCCAACUGCGGGAGCAGAAGCAGCGACUUGAGUGAUAGGCCACAGGUUCUGAUUUUGCUCUCGGACUUCCGGGGUGGCGCCUCCGGAAAAUGGCGGAAUUCCCUUCGAACUGAAGGGAACCCGCUGCACGGAGGCUUGGGUCCUGCCGCUACGGCGCAGCGGGGACCCUCAAAAACCACAGGCGGAAGAAGCCUGUGGGCGUGGGACUCGGCGGGCACCGAGAGCGCUCUCUCCUUGUACAGGAGCCCGGUAACGGGCUCCGGAGUGGGAGGUGCGUGGUGCUGUGAGUCGACUGCUUCCUCCGUGCAGCAAAGCCGCACUGCCGUUUUCGGAGAGCGCUGCCUUUUCCUGGACAAUUUGGCAUCUAAAACAUCUAUCCGUGAGUACCUGAUCCUGGAAGAGCUGAACUACUUUUAAGAUUGGUGAAUAAAUAAAUAACAUUGGACUUGAACUUGAAAUUGAAUUUAAUUGGGACUCGGAACGGAAAGGUCUAAACAGGAAGUCGCCUUCCGUUCUUUUGUUACGUGAAGAAAGCAAAGACAAAUUAUACUAAAGCCUGAAAACUAAAUUCUGAGAGAACUAAAAUUCAACAUCUAAGAUUUCUGAACCCCCUCUUUGAUUGCAGGAGAAGAAGGGGGUUGUUUUGAUCUUUUCAACCCUGCGGAAGUGAGUUUAAAAUAAAGUAAUUUUCCACCGCCCUGAACCAGGAGCGGGCUGUCAGAACUGACGUUUUGAAGCUUAUCCAGCUCGACAGAUAGUUAAAAGAAGGGUAACAUUUUGAUUCUACUGUUGCCUCUUGAAUUUGAAAGGGGAAUUUUGGAUAAAGUGUUUCUGGAAAAAGAAAGAUUGUUACUGUUGUUUUUCCCCUCUUAAAAAAUAAUAAUAAUAAUAAAAAGGGUUUUCCAUCUAGUGGAACUGAGUGAAAUUGCAAUGCAGAGAGUUUAAAAGAGAAGGACCAUUCUCGUGGGAAAGAAUUUUUUCUGACCUUGAAGGACAAUGCUUGUACAAAGGCUUGAACAAGUGUUCCUGGAAGGUUUUGCAAAAUUAAGUGCCCAGCUGGACCAGAUGCGUCAGGAGUCGACCUUGAUGAUGACGGAAGUCACCAGAGCACAGCAGCAAACAAAUGAAAUUCAGUUAAAGUCUAUACAAGUAUAUGAACCUGCUGUAGCGACGGAGGCUUCAGAGAUGGAGGGACUUAUGGAUGGGCAAGAUCAGCCUUUGAACUUGAUAAAUGAACUUGGGACAAACCUGAUUCGGAAAGAUGAAAUGUGGUCAGAUUUGGAAAUGGGGGGAUGGAUUGACACCCCUCUAUAUGGUUAUUUGGACUUUCCGAGUCUAGGGAUGGGCCAUCAGAGGAUUGGAGAAGUCGAAGUCUCCAAGUUUUCUGGAAAUUGGAAGUGGUAUUAUCUGCUGUCUGGCUUGGGUAAUGGGUUUGGGAUGGACUUGCUGCAAAGAGUCAAAAGCAUCUUUUUGCUGGAGUAUCCACGACUGAAAGGGAAAUAUCAACAAGAGUGGCGAAAGGGGCAAGAAAGAGACUUGAGGGCCUCGGACACGAGACAACCAGGUUAAGGAGCCGGAUUAUUGAGGUUAAAAGGACUGACAAUCCCGGGACCAGGGGAGGGGAGGCUGGAAGUUGACUGGACUGAAUCUGACUUAUUAUUUUCUUUUUCUUAUUUUUUAAUAUUGGGAAUGUUUAUAAAUGUUUGAAGGAUGUUGAAUGAAAUUAUAUGACUUAAGUAAGAAUCGGUAAAUGGUUUGUAAAAAGGUAAUGAUGUAAGAAUUUGCUAAAUAUGGAAUAUAAGCUUUGAGUUUUAAAGUUUUUAUAUGACAAGAGGGAAAAUAGAACAAGGAAACGCAAUGAUAGAUUAUUAUGAAAAAACAGAAAGGAUUUGCUGUAAAAAUUAAACACUAAGAAACAAGAGAGGGGGGAGGAGGAAGUCUAGAAAGGAAGUUAAUGGAGAUCGUAAAGGAUUUUAUAUUUCUGUUUUUCUGUUUUUCUUUUUUUCUUUUUUGCGGCUGGGUUUUUUCUUCUUUAUUAUUUCUGUAUUAUUUUUGUUUUUGUUUUUUUUCUUCUUUGUAUGUUCAAACUUUUUUGGUAAUUUUUGUUGUUAUUUGUUAUUUUUUGAAAAUUUAAUAAAUAUCAAUUUUAAAAAAAAAAAAAAAAGGUUCUGAUUUUGCUCUCAAUGCAAGCUAGCUGUUUGGAGUGGUGGGAUUCUGCCAGCAUGUGGAAAGUCAAAGAAGACGGAUCGGACAUGAAAUGUAGGCGGAGACAGAAUCUUAAAGCGGUGAGCCACGCUUUGGUUCCCAGCAGCCUUUGUCCAGUUUCCGGUCACAUGGCUGCAUAUGGCAUAGAAUUUGGCAGCCCCAGAAUUUUGCGCAUAAAUUUGGACCGGAUGCGUUCCAGCGGUUGGUCAACUGCACCAAUCCAUAACGGAAUGACCCAUAGGAGUUUGGGGGCUACUUUGGUGUUAAAGACCUGGAACCAAUUGAUUUCCUCUGUUUAAGAAGAAACAGGCGAUAGCCAGAGCUAGAGUAUAUCUGCUCUGUUAAAUGCAAGCUUACAAAUCCAGUCAAAAC
rnacentral:lncRNA from 1 species